rnacentral:RNase_P_RNA from 1 species
CGACGUGGCGACGCGGCCGCUGGAUGAAACACGCCAGAGGAAAGUCCGAGCACGACAGGACACGAUGGUGGGUAACGCCCACCGGGCCCCGGGAACGGGGCUUAGGGAAAGUGCCACAGAGAACAUACCGCCGAUGGCCGGGGUUUCCGCAAGGGAACCACGGAUCAGGUCAGGGUGAAAAGGUGCGGUAAGAGCGCACCGCUCGCGUGGUGACACGCGGGGCAUGGCAAACCCCAUCGCGUGCAAGGUCACGCAGCCGUCGGGUGGUCGAAAGGCCCCCCACCGCCGGUCCGGCGGUUUGACGGCGGGUGGACUGCUCAAGCCCACGGGCAACCGUGGGAAUAGAGAAAUGGUCGCGGCGAUCCGAAGGUGAACCCCGAGCCCCCGUCAAUGGACAGAGGGUUCAAACCGCGGAUCAGCACAGAACUCGGCUUACACGCCACGUCGGUUC